rnacentral:sRNA from 1 species
AGGUUUCCGUAGGUGAACCUGCGGAAGGAUCAUUGUCGAAAUCCAAAAGGAGGAAUGAGAACAUGUGAUGGUGCCUUUUGGGAGCGGAGGCAAGCAAAAACGGUGUUGCGUUCUUGCUGUCUACGGCACCCCUUGCUGCAACCGGCUCGUGUGUCAACGGGAUUGGUGGGCGGGAACAUGAACCCCGGCACGGUAUGUGCCAAGGAUCAGUUGUGUUGGAGAGCAUCGCGUGCUUUGAUGCCUAGCUUUGUGGCACGUGAUGCAAUCCUUGCUAAGGUAGAGAAUCUGCAUGACUCUCGGCAACGGAUAUCUUGGCUCUUGCAUCGAUGAAGAACGUAGCAAAAUGCGAUACUUGGUGUGAAUUGCAGAAUCCCGUGAAUCAUCGAGUUUUUGAACGCAAGUAGCGCCCAAGGCCAUCUGGUUGAGGGCACGGCUGCCUGGGCGUCACGCUUAGCGUCACUUCAUGCACAUGGUCAUCAUGCUAUAAGUGGAUUUCUUUGUGCGUGGAAGAGUAGACUGGCCCCUUGUGUUUUUAUGGCAUUGUGGGCUGAAGUGCGGGCUAUGCCGCUAGUUUUAGACACGGUGAGUGGUGGAUAGACUCUCGCAUGAUGCCUUUUCCAGUGUGCUAUGUAACUAGCUUAUUGAGCAAAAGAUAAGAACCAAAGCGGAAGGUGCUUUGUUGCGUCUUCAGACCAUGACCUCAGGUCAGGCGGGAACACCUGCUGAGC